GACGAACGCUGGCGGCGUGCUUAACACAUGCAAGUCGAACGGUGAAGCGCCGUCCGUUUUGGGGGGUGUGGAUGAGCGGCGAACGGACGAGUAACACGUGAGUAACCAGCCCCCUUCUUCGGGAUAACCGCAUGAAAUAGUGCCUAAUACGGGCGAUCCCGGGUCGGUCGCAGGUGGGGUCUGGGAAAGAUAUUGUUUCGGUUGGGGAUGGGUUCGCGGCCUAUCAGCUUGUUGGUGGGGUGAGGGCCUACCAAGGCGGUGACGGGUAGCCGGCCUGGGAGGGUGGACGGUCUGACUGGGACAGCGGCACGGCCCGGACUCCUACGGGGCGCAGCAGUGGAGAGUAUUGCGCAGUGGGGGAAAGCCUGAUGCGGCGGCGACGCGUAUGGGGUGGCGGCGUUCGGGUUGUGAACCUCUUUCGCCAGUGAAGCAGGCCUGGCUCGUUUGUAGGUGGGUUGACGGUAGCUGGAUAAGAAGCGCCGGCUAACUACGUG
rnacentral:rRNA from 1 species